rnacentral:rRNA from 1 species
GACGGAGGGGGCUAGCGUUGUUCGGAAUUACUGGGCGUAAAGCGCACGUAGGCGGCCCUUCAAGUCAGGUGUGAAAGCCCCGAGCUUAACUCGGGAACUGCACUUGAUACUGUUGGGCUUGAGACCGGGAGAGGAUAGCGGAAUUCCCAGUGUAGAGGUGAAAUUCGUAGAUAUUGGGAAGAACACCAGUGGCGAAGGCGGCUAUCUGGACCGGUACUGACGCUGAGGUGCGAAAGCGUGGGGAGCAAACAGG